CUACUGGGAAGUGGCCGAAAAAUUUCAAAUAAAAUGGGAUAAUGUACAAGUGGGAUUAAAAUAACGAUGGAAAAAGAAGGACUCAAACUUUGGUGAAUGAAUUUAGUGCGGGGUGCUAUACACUUAGGUAGAUAAAAUAUCUGUCUGUGAAAAAUCUGUGAAUUUCUCGAGAGCUUCUCAAGGUGCGUCCUUCUUGUCCAACAACACGUG
rnacentral:lncRNA from 1 species